rnacentral:rRNA from 1 species
GUCGAGCGGCGGACGGGUGAGUAACGCGUAGGAACCUGCCUAAUAGAGGGGGAUAGCCCAGAGAAAUUUGGAUUAAUACCGCAUAAUGUCUACGGACCAAAGUAUGGGAUCUUCGGACCAUACGCUAUUAGAUGGGCCUGCGUCGGAUUAGCUAGUUGGUGAGGUAAUGGCUCACCAAGGCGACGAUCCGUAGCUGGUUUGAGAGGAUGAUCAGCCACACUGGAACUGAGACACGGUCCAGACUCCUACGGGAGGCAGCAGUGGGGAAUAUUGCACAAUGGGCGCAAGCCUGAUGCAGCCAUGCCGCGUGUGUGAAGAAGGCCUUAGGGUUGUAAAGCACUUUCAUUGGUGAGGAAAAGUUUAUCGUUAAUAGCGAUAAGCCGUGACGUUAACCAAAGAAGAAGGACCGGCUAACUCCGUGCCAGCAGCCGCGGUAAUACGGAGGGUCCGAGCGUUAAUCGGAAUUACUGGGCGUAAAGCGCGCGUAGGCGGUAUGUUAAGUUGGAUGUGAAAGCCCAGGGCUCAACCUUGGAACUGCAUCCAAAACUGGCAUACUAGAGUAUUGUAGAGGGGUGUGGAAUUUCAGGUGUAGCGGUGAAAUGCGUAGAGAUCUGAAGGAACAUCAGUGGCGAAGGCGACACCCUGGACAAAUACUGACGCUGAGGUGCGAAAGCGUGGGGAGCAAACGGGAUUAGU